CCUACGGGAGGCAGCAGUGAGGAAUAUUGGUCAAUGGACGAGAGUCUGAACCAGCAACGUAGCGUGAGGGAUGACUGCCCUAUGGGUUGUAAACUUCUUUUAUAUGGGAAUAAAAUGUUCCACGUGUGGGAUUUUGUAUGUACCAUAUGAAUAAGGAUCGGCUAACCCCGUGCCAGCCGCCGCGGUAAUACGGAGGAUCCGAGCGUUAUCCGGAUUUAUUGGGUUUAAAGGGAGCGUAGGUGGAUUGUUAAGUCAGUUGUGAAAGUUUGCGGCUCAACCGUAAAAUUGCAGUUGAAACUGGCAGUCUUGAGUACAGUAGAGGUGGGCGGAAUUCGUGGUGUAGCGGUGAAAUGCGUAGAUAUCACGAAGAACUCCGAUGGCGAAGGCAGCUCACUGGACUGCAACUGACACUGAGGCUCGAAAGUGUGGGUAUCAAACAGGAUUAGAUACCCCUGUAGUC
rnacentral:rRNA from 1 species